GGAAUGUAGAGUUGUUAUAGCAUCUUGGUUGCUGGUUUUUUUGCUGCAAGAAGGUUUUUGGUGGUCACUUGUUGAUGCUCUUAAGUCAAAUACUUUGAUCUUUUGCCUAAGGUAUGUUAUUUAAUUUCUUAACAUUGGAUGUUUAAUGCUAGUUUGUUUGUGUUGUCAUGGAUUGAAUGUUGUAUGAACUAAUGUCAUCAAUGGUUGUUAGUUGGAGUGUAAA